UUGCUCUAUUAGCAGGUGGGUCAAUGUAAUUCGGGCAAAAAAUUAAGUUUGGCGGAAUUGGUGGCUAUCCGAAUUCCGUAAAUGUCUUUUCAUAUGAAAAGGCUCAUUUUUAAAGUUUUCGUUUAUGAUUUGACUAAUUUUGAAACACAUUUAUUUAGAUGCUAGAAGCAUUUCGUGUAACAGCUAACGUGUACAAGAUAAAAACGUGAUCACCCGCGACCGACGAAAGCGCAUUUUCCCCGCACAGAAUCAGUAAUAACUCGAGAAGGAAGUGAUCACUCCAAAUAAAUUUUUGUCGUUCUGGUCUCUGGGCUGUACUACACCGUAUAAGAAAAAAAACCACAACGAAAAAGCUUAAACUGGAGGACUAGUAGUGGUACAUAUGGACAAAGUGCGGACAAUAGCGUUAAUUUUCCUUUUUGAGAAUGCGCAAAAAAUGAGAUCAGAUGACGUAUAGAAACGCGAUUUCUCAAAUUUCAGCCGAAAUGGCGUCAAACAUUUGAAAUGUUCUAACUUUUUCCCAAAUACACUUACAUUCACGUUUCUUAUAGGUUGGCGUAGGUUUUUGGCGUCAAGGAUCACAAUGGAAGGGUCAAAAAUGUGACUGGAAGUGGAAAACCGCGAUUUUUCAUAUUUAGGCCGAAAUGGCGCUAACAUUUCGCUAUGCUUUGAGCAUCAUUGGUGAAGGUUUGAAUUAAUAAGCAGUUAAAUACACUCUUUGACUUUGAAAUUAUGUAUUUGGAAUGUACCGUACCGUGUAUAAUAAUAGUGAACUACGAAUUUUGCAAUAUUCUUUAGGACAGCGUUAGUGAGAGGACCUUCCUUAGGUCAUCCAGAAGUCAGCAGGAAACACUACGGAAAACCUUCAGGGCAGUUGUUUUAGUUAUUGAAUACUGAGCAUGAAACAAAACCAAGUAGACAUUACAUCCAAAACUCAUAUUCAGCGAAAGAGAUUUCAAGGAUCGAUCAAGAACAAACUCAGUCACCACUCACAUCAUAGGUCACUGUAACAUCAAUAUAUAUGCAGAAAUCUGUGAACCCUAACACAUUUCCAUUGCGAUAGGCAACUUUAGAUAGUACUUAUACUAGGGAUGUUUCCGAAGUGGUUAGGUAUAUCGGCACCGAUCGUAAGAUGUCUUCACAUUUGAAGAACGGUUUCGAGGCUUUUUUUUCCGAGCAGGAAGCAAAACUUCACAGCCCUGCGCUGUUCAUAAAACUUUUCCAUGAAGAACAAUGGCUGGACAAAACAGCUCUUGCAGGAAAAUUCACUGCGGGUGGACUCAAUGCCGCUUGCGCACUGAUUGGCCGAACCCGUAUAUAAAAAGAGGCUGUCUUUGAUCGUGCUGCAAAGAUGAAAGGAUUUUUUAAUGUUUACCGUUGUAAUGGAUUGUUGGUAGAAUGAACUAUAGGAUGACCCAAAGGAACUAACAUUUUUGCAACGAAGUUUGGUGUUUAAUUUUAAAAUAUGGUUAUGAGAUAUUCCAGUAAUUUAGUUUUUUCUCUCUGGUUAAGGUUUCACAACACUCUAGGCAAGUUAAAUGAUUACUGGGUUUUUUUAAAUCUUUAUGUCGCGGAACCAUGUUUUAUAUCAAAAACUAUUGAUCAAUAUUAUGUUUACCUAAACAUGUGGAAUCAAUACGGAAAGUAUUCCACGUAGGUACUUAUUUACAUGCGACAUUAACUAGCGAAGUAUCGCGAUAAAUUCUAAUAUCUUUUAUUAUGAAUGGAUCGCGAUAAAGCAAAUUACAAAGUACUCAACUAAGCAGCAAAAAUGUACUUUAAUCAUUAAAAUCGAUAACUAAAAAACGUGCUUGUUUAACUAGCACUACGUAUACUUCCAGUAUUUGUUCAAUAUGUUAAGCGUCGUCGGUAAUUUAACUUGAUAUAAUGAACAAGAGUAAUUUAUUCUGUGCGAUUCUUGCGUCGCUUCUAUGUUCAACAUAUAAUUGUUAUAUAAAGCUCGAUAGAACA